AGAGUUUGACUCUGCUCAGAGAACGCUGGCGGCGUGCCUAACACAUGCAAGUCGAACGGAACUUAGUUGAAGGAAUUACUUCGGAAGGACAUUGGUUAAGUUUAGUGGCGACGGGUGAGUAACGCGUGAGUAACCUGCCUCCGAGAGGGGAAUAACAAUCUGAAAAGAUUGCUAAUACCGCAUAACAUAGCGAAGCCGCAUGGCAGCGCUAUCAAAGAUUUAUCGCUCGGAGAUGGACUCGCGUCCGAUUAGUUAGUUGGUGAGGUAACGGCUCACCAAGACCGCGAUCGGUAGCCGGACUGAGAGGUUGAACGGCCACAUUGGGACUGAGACACGGCCCAGACUCCUACGGGAGGCAGCAGCGGGGGAUAUUGCGCAAUGGGGGAAACCCUGACGCAGCAACGCCGCGUGAAGGAUGAAGGUUUUCGGAUUGUAAACUUCUUUUAUUAAGGACGAAAAAUGACGGUACUUAAUGAAUAAGCUCCGGCUAACUACGUG
rnacentral:rRNA from 1 species